rnacentral:rRNA from 1 species
UACGAAGGACCCAAGCGUUAUCCGGAUUUAUUGGGUUUAAAGGGUGCGUAGGCGGGCUAUUAAGUCAGUGGUGAAAGCCUGCAGCUUAACUGCAGAAUUGCCAUUGAUACUGAUGAUCUUGAGUAUGAUUGAGGUGGGCGGAAUGUGUCAUGUAGCGGUGAAAUGCUUAGAUAUGACACAGAACACCGAUUGCGAAGGCAGCUCACUAAGCCAUAACUGACGCUGAUGCACGAAAGCGUGGGGAGCAAACAGG